AUUAAUUAAGGUUCCCAUUCAUUCCUGCUGACACUUGCUCAUCAAUCAGAUUUCCUCUUAGCAUUCUGAUGACCUUGCUGACCUUGGUCCUCCAUGCUGUCUGCUAGACAGAAUUGAGACUCAGACCACACACACCAGAACUGAGGGAAUGGGCUCUGACUCUCGGCUUCCUGAGAUGGAGGAGAAAGGGUCUGGGGACAAAGCUGGCUGGUCCGGAGCUCUUCUGGCUGAGGUGAAGAACCCAGGGCCAGCCAUGGAGCUUGGAGCCCAGCCAGCUGAGCCCAGGAAACAAGGCUAGCAAUUUCUCUCUGCUAACUCAGCACUGCUGAAAGAAGUUAACAGCUCUAGUCUUCUCUCAGAAAAGUACAGGAAACUGUUCUGGAGAUGGGGGUGGCAUCUGGGACUAGUCAGCCUAAGGUGUGGGACUUUUAUUUCAUUACUUGUGCCUUUAUUCAUUCAUUAAAUAUACAUUUACCUGGCAGCCACUGUGUAUACUAG
rnacentral:lncRNA from 1 species